GCCUUGCUGGCGCAAUGGAUAGCGCGCUGGACUUCUAAUCCAGAGGUUCCGGGUUCGAGUCCCGGGUAGGGUA
rfam:Oikopleura dioica, whole genome shotgun assembly, reference scaffold set, scaffold scaffold_85